ACUCCAUGAAGCUGGAUUCGCUAGUAAUCGCGCAUCAGCCACGGCGCGGUGAAUACGUUCCCGGGCCUUGUACACACCGCCCGUCAAGCCAUGGAAGCCGGGAGUGCCUGAAGUGCGUGACCGCAAGGAGCGUCCUAAGGCAAUACCGGUGACUGGGGCUAAGUCGUAACAAGGUACC
rnacentral:rRNA from 1 species